AAAGAAUCCCUUUGCUCUGAACCAGAUGUUUUCCCCCAGGGCUCGGCUUUAAGUCGGGCUUCUGAGCUAAUAGUGUAUAUGCUUAGAGGCUCUGAAGGCUACUACAUGGAUUAGACUUGCCUGAGAGUGAAUCCAAGACAGAAGAUAGUAGAAGCAAUGGAGGAAGAGGUUGAUGUCCAGCUCCUGCCCAUGCCAGAAACCAGUUAAAUUCCCCUGCUUCUUCAGUGAUAAACCAUUUCUUUGCUAUGAGCCUAUAAACACACCAAGUGGGCAG
ensembl:lncRNA